CCUACGGGCGGCAGCAGUGGGGGAUAUUGCACAAUGGGGGGAACCCUGAUGCAGCGACGCCGCGUGGGUGAAGGAGCGUUUCGGCGCGUAAAGCCCUAUCGGCAGGGAAGAAGGAGGACGGUACCUGACUCAGAAGCCCCGGCUAACUACGUGCCAGCAGCCGCGGUAAUACGUAGGGGGCAAGCGUUAUCCGGAUUUACUGGGUGUAAAGGGGGCGCAGACGGCAGCGCAAGCCAGGAGUGAAAGCCCGGGGCGCAACCCCGGGACUGCGCUUGGAACUGCGCGGCUGGAGUGCAGGAGGGGGAGGCAGAAGUCCUGGUGUAGCGGUGGAAUGCGUAGAGAUGAGGAGGAAAACCGGUGGCGAAGGCGGCCUGCUGGACUGCGACUGACGUUGAGGCCCGAAAGCGUGGGGAGCAAACAGGAUUAGAUACCCCAGUAGUC
rnacentral:rRNA from 1 species